rnacentral:rRNA from 1 species
AUUGAACGCUGGCGGCAUGCUUUACACAUGCAAGUCGAACGGUAACAGGUUAAGCUGACGAGUGGCGAACGGGUGAGUAAUGCAUCGGAACGUGCCCGGUCGUGGGGGAUAACGCAGCGAAAGCUGCGCUAAUACCGCAUACGAUCUGAGGAUGAAAGCGGGGGACCGUAAGGCCUCGCGCGAUCGGAGCGGCCGAUGUCAGAUUAGGUAGUUGGGGGGGUAAAGGCUCACCAAGCCGACGAUCUGUAGCUGGUCUGAGAGGACGACCAGCCACACUGGGACUGAGACACGGCCCAGACUCCUACGGGAGGCAGCAGUGGGGAAUUUUGGACAAUGGGCGCAAGCCUGAUCCAGCAAUGCCGCGUGCAGGAAGAAGGCCUUCGGGUUGUAAACUGCCUUUGUACGGAGCGAAAAGGCUCUCUCUAAUACGGAGGGCUCAUGACGGUACCGUAAGAAUAAGCACCGGCUAACUACGUGCCAGCAGCCGCCGUAACAC